rnacentral:rRNA from 1 species
AUCGAUAGUCUGACCUGCCCACUGAAUAUUUUAAAUGGCCGCGGUAUUUAGACCGUGCUAAGGUAGCAUAAUCAAUAGUCUUUUAAUUGGGGACUAGAAUGAACGGUUGGAUGAGGUACAAGCUGUCUAGCAAUUGUAAUUUUGAAUUUUACUAUUAAGUGAAAAGGCUUAAAUUAUUUAGCGGGACGAUAAGACCCUAUAAAGCUUUUAUUUGGCUUAUUAUUUUAACUAUGAUAUUUUUGUGCUUAUGUUAAAAUUGGGGUCAAAUUGGGUUGGGGCGACUGGGAUAUAAAAGGUAACUGUCCUUAUGAUUAAAAUAAUGGUUUUUAGGUAUUUGAUCCUGUAGUAUGGGUUAAAAGAUUAAAGUUACUUUAGGGAUAACAGCGUAAUUCUUUUUGAGAGUUCUUAUCGACAAAAGUGUUUGCGACCUCGAUGUUGAAUUAAAGUUUCGUCAAGGUGUAGCAGCUUUGAUUGUAGGUCUGUUC